rfam:TPA: Bos taurus chromosome 27, whole genome shotgun sequence.
UCCCUGGUGGCUCAGACGGUAAAGCGUCUUGCUUACAAUGCAGGCGACCUGGGUUCGAUCCCUGGAUUGGGAA